CACUAAUCCUUAUCUCCCUUCCUUUAAUUGAUGUGUUUUAGAUUCACUCUUGCGCAUGUCUGUGCAAUGGAAGGAUAAUCAUGAAGAUGGGUUUUAGUACAGCACGGAAAUUGAUCUAUCUAGGUAUAUCAUCUUAGCAGAACCGAUCGAUCUUAGUAGAACAAUCUUUGCCAGGCAAUUAUCAUGUGGAGGCUAAUACUUACUAAGUGCCACUAAAUGUGCAAGCUAUGUUGUGUGGAACUGGCCAGAUGAAAAAUGUUAGCUAUGUUGUGUGUCAUGUGAAUUUUUUAGUAACAAAAUACUUUUGUUUUAGGGUUCGUACUGACCCCUUUCUGCACAGGUCACAAUCAACAUGCUACAUAGUACAGUGCUGUAAUCAAUCAACGAAGUUUUUAUUCAGACUUGUGUUCUGAUGGUGCCAUGAUCUAUUGCAAAAUUCAUAUGUAUGGACUGUUAGCUGAGUUCCCAUAUUAAUGUUGACAUACUUCACCUGUGCCAGGCUUAAGCACUUUGAUCUCCAUGCUAUGUACAUGCAGUACAGGUUGCAAGAUCUUUUCAGGUUACUCUAUUCAGCUAAGCAAAGCAACAGAUCCAAUUAAUGUUUUAAGAACUAAUGCUACAUUUGUGGCAGAAUAUGUUCAAUUCCUGGUUGAUUUCAUAUCUGAGUUUAGUCUCUGUGUAUUCUUGUUUAGAGAAAACACUGGCUGCCUGUACUUUGUGUAUAUGCAAUCCAGUUGAUUGUAUACUCUAGGCAUCAUAUUUUCAUAAUAUGUGAGUUUCAAAUGCGUCCUGAUCAUGGUAAUGCUUGCAGGCAAGUAGAUGGAUCCAUUAAGAAAUAAUGGUGGUAGAGCUCCUUUUAGUGACAUGUCAAGCUCCACCAAAUAUGGAUGCACGUACCAAGAGGUGUCACGAAGCCUACAGGACGAAAAAAGGGCAAGUGUGCAACAAUGAGAACCUGAACGCUGGGUGGCAGUCUUGUGCCGAUGGUAACAUGUCCCCCUAAAUACCAAAUGGAUGCUUGACAUUAGACAUGGAGUGCGUGGAAUCUGAUAGGGAUUGUCCGAUGGAUCUGAAGGUGGAAAGCAGAGAAAAAAUAUGUUAUUUGGCAUGCUGCAACUCAACAAUGUUCCUUUCUUCCGCAGUUCCGCUAUAACAAAAUCAAAUAGCCAGGAUGGAUGGACACCACAACAUUUUGCCAUACAGAGUAGAAAUAGAAAUAUAGCAAGGAUCUUGCUUGUCAAUGGUGUGGAUAAAGCAAGAAGAUCCAUGCAGUGUAUGCUGUUGUGAAGUAUUAGUGGAUUGCCCACAUCUUCCCAAUAGCUUAAGCUUUUGGGUUCAUCUGGUUGGUGCAUGAAACCUAACAUGGUAUCAAAGCCAGAGGUCUCCAGUUCGAGUCUUGGUAGAGGCAUCUUUUAAGUCCUCUGCUCCCUUCUUUAUUUCCACAUUUGCGCCUUGUUCUGGCUGCAUGUGAGUGGGAGUGUUGUGAAGUAUUAGUGGAUUUCCCAUCUUUUCCCAAUAGCUUAAGCUUUUGGGUUCAUCUGGUUGGUGCAUGAAACCUAACAUAUGCCAAGGCAUCCGGACAUACCAGCUCGUCUUGUCUCCUUUGAAACACUGGAACCAAGGUUUGUCCCUAUUGUUUCGUAUAUUUUUGUUGAUGGGCAGUAUAUAUCAAAAAUUGAGUUGCCUAUGUGUUGGCUGUUUAGAUAAAUUUCUGUUGUUUCAUAAAACAAGUUAAAUGCCUUCAGAAACAAUGAUGUCGAUAGAGAAGCUCUUUUCUCUUCUUUUAGGGCUUGUUCUUCUAGCUACUUGGGUACUAUUGAGUCACAGCUAGAAAGCUUA